UCCCCUUAGAGGCUUGGCUGAACUCUGUGCUCUCCUUCCCUCUACUUUGUUCUCGAGUUUUCUGCACAUUCUUCCACCCACAGAUGUGAAUGUCGUGUGAUGUUGGCUUUCCAGUGUCUUGCAUGGCGUGGUAGCAGCAGAAAUGAGCUUGGCUGGGCACCCUCUCUGGGCCUUGGAGGACAGCCUGGGCUCUUCUGAAAAUACAGGCAGCUUCCUUUCCCUGACUGGCCUGGAGGAGCAAGGCCCUGUGGUGCGGUCUGGCUCUGAGGCCUGUGGUCCUGCUUGGGACUGGCAGUCUUAGGCUGAGAGAACAUUUUCCAGAGUAUAGCCGAGGGACAGAAUGUCUCAGUAAGACGGGCUUGGAGGGGCAGGGUUUUGGAAAGGCCUCUGCUUGUUCUGGGAGGCGUUCAGGAUGCUGAGGUUUCGGAAAUUCAUGGCGGCUCUUCACAACUGCUCCCAGCUUUGGGAGGAGGAAUAGACGGGUGCUCGUUUCCUUGGGUUCAGUGGCAAAGGUGAAGCCCAGCACUGCCGACCUGGGACCUGGGCCUCUCCUUGGCCUGGGGAGGACACUGGACUUUGAAGAGGAAUGCAGCCUAGAAGGCCUGGACCCUGGAGUCAUGAGAUGCUGCUCCCAUCCAGUAAGCCCUGGCUGGAGCUCUGCUGGGCACUGACCCUGGCAUAAAACCAGUGGGGCCUCUGGGCCUGCACUCAACCGUGCCUCUGAUGGAGCAGAUAUAGAACAAUUCCAUCACUCCAGAAAGUACCAUGGAUCCUCUUUCCAGUUUCUCGACCCCACUGCUCAUCCUCCCAGGUUCAGCUUGGUUGUGACCUCUGCUGGAAGCCCUCCCUGGCCCCCCUGUGCACUGAGCUGGCGGUUCCUCCUCUGUGCCCCAGGAACUACACGUGGUCGCCUUGCAUUGUACCACAGGCCUGCACUCCACCGCAACAGACUGGACCCAGUGUGGGCCAAGGACAAAGGCGGCCUUUGGUGAGGUAGUCGGACUUGGGAGCUCUGAGUGGGUGGGAGUGCCUGUCCCACCUACUCCCAUCCAUGCACCUUCAAGUGAUACAGAGGAGGGAACCGAGGCACAGAGGGCUGGGUAAUGCACUCAAGCAUCCACACAGGAAGAGGAACUGGAAGAGGAACCGGAAGAGGAACCCAGGCUCUUUGGCCGGUGCCUUAGGCCACCAUACUCCAUAGUUUUCCACCAAAGGACAUGCUGGGCAGGAGUUAACAGACCAUCAGGGGUUGGUGGGGCCGGCUCUGGAGUCCCACUGCCAGGUUUUGGCUGGCUUCUUGAUUGCAUCCUGUUUGAUCAGCUGAGUCUUUCAAAUCCUGGUUCCACUGAUUGUCAGUGGUGUGACUUCAGGGAAGCUGCUUGAUUUCUCCACCAAGGUUUCCUCACCUGUGGAGUGAGUGCAGCGAGGGCACCUAUUCAUGGGAACCUGAUUCACUUGGCACUGUGGUGAAUGUGCAAUACAUGUCUGCUGCUGGGUGGGGACCGAUGGGGAAGGUCUGACAAUGGCUCGUUUAGGGCAUGUAAGGAAAUUGGCCUGGCUGGAGCAGAGGCCACCCAGGGGAGGAGAGCGGGACAAGGCUGGGCCUGGGGAAGGGAGCCCCAGUGCCUUCCAUCAUUCCAGAGAGGCAGAUGUGGUCGAUGUGGCCAGAGCUGCCUGUGGCUUGGCAGCUUCUCCUCACUGGCCUCAUCUGGUCCCUCAUAGAGAUGCUGUGACUGCCCAUCCUUAGGAGCUUCAGGGCUGGGGGUGGGUGCUGUGCCCUUAAGAUUGCCCUCAGAAUGCCACCAGUUGUUCACAGUCAGCCUUCAAGACCCACAGCAUGGUGAAAUUCUGAGUUGUCGAUAUGGCACUUGAAAGCAAGACUAAAGGUUAAAUUUUGCCUUCCCUGGGUUCCUUUAAAAAAGGCUGAGAUGGGUGGGGGCUUGGCCUCUCCACGUCAUUGGGAAAAGGUCAUCAGACUCCACUGUCAAGGCAGGAGGGUCAGGGGCAGCAGGAAGACCAGGGGUAUCCAGGGAGGAGGGGCAGGGGAUGCUAAACAGAGGUAAGAUAGCAGAGUGAGGAGGGGCUGGGGGAUGUGACUGUAACUCUGAGGACCCCAUUAUAGGGAAACAUUAUACUCACAGGCAGACACACACCUGGACAUGCAUUCUUGCACUCAUGGGCCCACAGACCAUCAACAAGAGAGUAGUGAGCCAGCCUGCAGGUUUCUAGAAUAUUCUCUUAUGAGAGUCUCUAUCCAGGAGUCUAGUUGAGGAUAAAGCAAGGCCCUCUCCUUUACACUUUUUAUUUAAGCACAUUUGGGCAGACUGAGUUUGCCUAUUAACUAGAGCUAAAAGGGACUUGGGGCUCAGCCUCUUCUUGGUCCUACGGCUGUGGGCAGGGAAGAAGGAAUGAGGGGUAGAUAGUACACAACUGAGAUCUGCUUCCAUCUUGGGUUCCAGUCUCGAGGCACCAAUUCUGUGUAGGAAACCCACUGAAGGCAGCUUGACCUGAUCUGGCAUGUGUGGAGUCUGCUGGAGGUCCAGUCCCUGCCCCGUCCUUCCCCACAGCCCCUCCUUAGGUGGGUGCUCAACCUCUCUGGGGAGAAUGCUCUAAGCUUUCUCUUCCACUAUUAGCUCCACUCUAUUCUUGUUCCCUGGCCCUUCUGUUCCAAACCCUGCAACUUCCCUUUAGACAGCUUCCUUUUUGCCUUUCUGCAUGGAUUAGAUCCUUUGUGACUUGGUCCCUCCCCAUUGUAACUUACAUACAGUAGCAUUAACAGAGCAUAAGUGUACAGCUUGACGGAUGGCCACAUGUGUGUCUAGACUUAUGGAACCACCAGAUCAAUAUUUGAAACAUUUCCAGCUCCAAAGUUGGUUCCCUUGUGCCCUUUCCCAAUCAAUACCAUCCCUAGGGGUGACUGCUAGUCUGAUUUCUGUCAGCCUAGAUUCAUUUCACCUGUUCUUGACUUUCAUAAAAAUGGUAUCAAACAUUCUCUUUAUGUCCAGCUUAUUUUACUCAAUAUAAUGCAUGGCAGAUUCACCCGUGCAGUUAUGUGUAGCAGAUGCUUUGUGGUGUUGUGUUCUAAUCACUGUGUAGUGUUCCAUUAUAUGAGUAUGCCAUGAUUUGUUUAGCGCCCCUGUUGAUGGAUAUUUGGGUGUUCUAGUUUGAGGUACUAUGAAUAAAGGACUCAGGUGCAUACCUAGUCAUUGACACGUGCAUUUGUUUCUCUUGGGUGGACAACUGGGAGUGGAAUUCC